CAACAGAGCCUUGGGCCAGCGCCCCAGAAAGCUGGAAUGUGAAUCAUGCUCAGGACCCAAGUGCCCAGGAGCCAGGGGUAUAAAGACAUUGGAGCCCUGUAAUGAGUGCUAUCACACACCAGCCGGUGUCAUCCCUGGAAAACAGACGCCGCCACGAUGAGGUUUGGAGCUCAGGAUAAUUACAGUUCCCGGGCAGAAGUGCAGUGAUAUGAGCCCAUCC
rnacentral:lncRNA from 1 species